GACGAACGCUGGCGGUGGGCUUAACACAUGCAAGUCGAACGGAAAGGCCCUGCUAUCGUGGGGUGCCCGAGUGGCGAACGGGUGAGUAACACGUGAGUAACCUGCCCUUGACUUUGGGAUAACUUCAGGAAACUGGGGCUAAUACCGGAUAGGAGCUCCUGCUGCAUGGUGGGGGUUGGAAAGUUUCGGCGGUUGGGGAUGGACUCGCGGCUUAUCAGCUUGUUGGUGGGGUAGUGGCUUACCAAGGCUUUGACGGGUAGCCGGCCUGAGAGGGUGACCGGCCACAUUGGGACUGAGAUACGGCCCAGAGUCCUACGGGAGGCAGCAGUGGGGAAUAUUGCCCAAUGGGCGGAAGCCUGAUGCAGCAACGCCGCGUGCGGGAUGACGGCCUUCGGGGUGUAAACCGCUUUAGCAUGUGACGAAGCGUGAGUGACGGUAAUGGAUGAAGAAGCACCGGCUAACUACGUG
rnacentral:rRNA from 1 species